rnacentral:rRNA from 1 species
CAUGCAAGUCGAACGGAAAGGCCUCUUCGGGGGUGCUCGAGUGGCGAACGGGUGAGUAACACGUGGGUGAUCUGCCCUGCACUUUGGGAUAAGCCUGGGAAACUGGGUCUAAUACCGGAUAGGACUACGAAUCGCAUGGUUUGUGGUGGAAAGCUUUUGCGGUGUGGGAUGGGCCCGCGGCCUAUCAGCUUGUUGGUGGGGUGAUGGCCUACCAAGGCGACGACGGGUAGCCGGCCUGAGAGGGUGUCCGGCCACACUGGGACUGAGAUACGGCCCAGACUCCUACGGGAGGCAGCAGUGGGGAAUAUUGCACAAUGGGCGCAAGCCUGAUGCAGCGACGCCGCGUGAGGGAUGACGGCCUUCGGGUUGUAAACCUCUUUCAGCAUCGACGAAGCGGAAGUGACGGUAGAUGCAGAAGAAGCACCGGCCAACUACGUGCCAGCAGCCGCGGUAAUACGUAGGGUGCGAGCGUUGUCCGGAAUUACUGGGCGUAAAGAGCUCGUAGGUGGUUUGUCGCGUUGUUCGUGAAAACUCACA